rnacentral:rRNA from 1 species
GUCGAACGCUGGCGGCGUGCUUAACACAUGCACGUCGAACGGAGUGGCGAACGGGUGAGUAACACGUGGCUGACCUGCCCUGCACUUCGGGAUAAGCCUGGGAAACUGGGUCUAAUACCGGAUAGUGUGGGAUGGGCCCGCGGCCUAUCAGCUUGUUGGUGGGGUAAUGGCCUACCAAGGCGGCGACGGGUAGCCGGCCUGAGAGGGUGGACGGCCAGAAUGGGAAUGAGAGAGGGAGCAGAGGGGAACGGGAGGGAGCAGGGGGGAAUAGUGCACAAUGGGCGGAAGACUGAAGCAGGGACGCGGGGUGGGGGAAGAAGGGCUUCGGGUUGUAAAGUGCGUGAACCAUAGACGCGGUAGAUGGAGAAGAAGCACCGGCUAACUACGUGCCAGAAGCCGCGGUAAUAC